UGCAUGGGGUGUUCUCAGAAGAAGGAAAUGUUGCUGCUGGUAUUUAAGCUAGAAAGGUGAACAUGCACUUUUAUGAAACAGGAGUUUAUAGGUGGAGUUUUGUUAAGGCACUUCUUUGAGUUUUGCUGUUUGUAGAAACAAGGAAGCUUACUGUGAACAGCUUUUAGGUCCAAAUAGAGGGGGUAGCAUAAAGGGUAGCAAGAAUGAAAUGUUUAGAUGAGCUAGUGAGUUUUGUGAGGUUUAUUUAUUUAUCAAGCUCUUCAGAAAUAUCCUCUGGCCUCCUGAACAGCAGCAAAGUAUUAGACUUACAAAUGUUUUUUCUGGAGUUAUGCAAGUCUCUUGCAGAAAAGGUUCAAAUGGAAGUGGUAGGAUUGUUAGAGGAGGCUCCAGAAACAUCUCUCAGGGUGAAGUAGCUUGGGUCUGUCCUUCUUUAGUCAUGGUCAGGGUGACAUUUUCAAGGUGCCUCCUGGCUUAAUGUUUCUGUGAUGGGACAGAGCUACCAGAUACACUGAAACCUUCCCUGCUGAAGGAAGGUAGGCACCAUGGCCUAUGGAGGUUGCCAUUAAGUUAUGGGACCCUGGAACACACGUGCCUGAUCAUCACUCUGCCAUCAAACCCUGGAAGAUUGUUGUCAUCUCCUGCAUACAGACUGCUCUGGGGCUUCCUGUCACUUUGGUUCUCCCAGGCUUGCAGGACAGUUCACUCAGCUGGAGCCCCGGCAGUACCAGUAAACAUACUGAUGUUAUGAAUGAAUUAUCCAAGGAACAUAAUGCUUCACUGCCAACCGAGAGCUAAUCCUUGAAGUUUAGUGUUAUUACACUUAACAUAUUUCAGUUGGAUCUCAAACCAAGAUGUGCAGAAGAAUUGAUACCACUGAAGGAGAUGGAUUUCUUGUCAAGAGUCUCACAAUUCCUUUGCUCCAAGGAAAUCUGAAUGAAGAAACAUUCAGUUUGGAGAUGUGCCUAUUCUACUUGGAAAAAGCUAAAAGAUGUGUUGAGGAAAGCAGGCAGAGCUAGAAAACACUGGAAAGAAAAAUUACAAUUUUUUAUUCAAAAUUUAAUUUUAUAAUUUUUUUCCAUAAGGCUUUUUUUGACAGUUGUCCAUCCAUCCUCUUUGAGAGACUUCUGGACUUUACAUCUGGAGCUCUUGCAAAUCUGCCCCUUAGCCAGUGCAGAACAGGGCAUUUGUCUUGCUUGGAUGGUCUGGGUCUACUUGCAAUUUCUAGUGGACUCCAUUGGUGGCUAUUGACUUGUGGCUUCUGAAUGCGUGACAGUAAUCCCCUUUAAACUGGAGCUCAGUAAGGUGCUGAGCACUGACAUGGGUUUUGUGUGUGCCAUCCCCCCCAAAUCCCUAAGUCUAUAUCAUAUCAUUCUAAGAAGUUACUGAGACAGCAAAAGAGGGAGCCUAAUUGCCAUAGGCUACCUGUUAUAGUCAAUGAGGUGAGUAGGGUAUUACCAAAGCAUGACUUUAACUGCCCUGUUGUACCCUUAGCUAACUUGCUUCCUGAUUUAAAAGCCUCCAUUAGAUAUAAAGAGGUGUUUGGGAGGGAUGUAAAUGCAAAGGCAGCAGGCAGAGAUGGCAUUGUAGUGGAGAGCUUCAAGCCAAGCUAUUUGCAUCUGCAGAGGGAACAUGGAAGGAGAAAGGGACUUGGCAUCACAGUCUGAGUUCAGCAGGCCAGAUCAGGGACUCUUGGGAUUGCAUGUAUGGUCACUAGAGUUAUGUUGAUAAGGAUUGUUUUGCUUUAAAAAUGGGGAUGGGAACAGUUUCAUGUAGCAAAGAUCUGCAGAACAGAUCAGUAUCUAUCUGACAGCAAUUCAUGGUCAAUGACUGGUGUUUGUUGCUAUCUGUGGUUGCCACUCUCACAUUCUUCUACCUAUUGCAGGAAGCUACAUAUCAGGAUGUACCUUUAACACCCACGGUGUGCAUGACUUGUCCUUAUAGUUUUACAUUUAUUAAAUGAUUGUGAGCAUUUGUACUCAGACUAUUAUAAAUCCAUUACUUUCCUCAGGCCACAGGAAAUGGUUUUGAAAUGUGAGGUUUUUCUACAGGGAAUUGAAAGACAAAAAUACUAAAGCACUGUACUUGGCUUGCACAGAUCAAUGUAGUGCAAUAACUGGGAAGAUGAAACAAGCUUAAAACAUUACAAAUAUGAUUGGAUGAAAGCUUAACAUGACAUUAAUUAUCGCCAAAAAAAUCUCCUAAACCACUUAAGGAAAACAAAAACCAAAAUAACAAAAAAAAAACCCAACAAAUGAAACACCCAAACAAAGAGCCUGGCAGUAAAUCAUGAAAGAGGAAUGAUGGUGUUUGCACUGGGAGCCAAAGUCUGGAUAACCUAAAUGCACAAAAGUGAGUAAAACUUCAAAUUUGGCCUUCUAUUUUUCAAUAUGAUGGAGAGGUGCAGGUAAAAAGUCUUGGGAUGGGAGAUAUCAUGAGGUUUUGAAAGUUAUUUUUCCAUUUAAACUUUCAUGAAGAUUUUUUCUUCAUCAAUAACUCUGUUUCCCUGUCAGGAAAAGAAGUGUUCCAAAAGUGAUGAUUCCUAUUUGGGAACAGAACAAUGAAGAAAAGAGAACCAAAGCAAUCUUUCGAAGAAGAUUCAAAAAUAGUCAUUAGAAUUCCUACCAGGUUCAGAAGUUGUGCUAGGUCAAACUAAAGCACCAGUGUUACCCCAUGAGCAAUGAGGUUUACCUGCAUUUUCAGGACAAUGAGUUAAUAUUUCAUUACACAUGCAGGCACAAUGUGAAGGUUAGCGAGUCUUCCUAUUUUUUUCAUGUUUUUGUAUUAAGCUGAAAAUAAAUGCUAGUGAAGAAAAAUGUUUCUUUUCCUGAAGCACUGAGCCACUGAUAGGAAUAAUUUUGGGGGGGAGGAGAAAUAGGAAGAGAGUUUAUAUCUUAGAUUUCUGUCUUUAAGUUACUUGAAUGGAUGGAAGCUUAGCCACUUGUGUUUAAAUGAAUGGACAUUACUGAAACUGUGGUCAGUCAUUUGUUCAAUUCCAAGUGAAAUAAACCAGCAAUGGUUAGUGAUGGAUGUGGAUUUCCUGAAAAGGAACAAAACAGCCUUUCCCAACAACUCCAGUCAUUAGAGGUUGUAUUCCCACAUCCCACGCGUUCAUGGCCUGGGAGCUAUGAUUCUCCAUUUCCAAUUGGGAUGCAUUCAGGGGAUAUCCAGUAUCCAGAAAUAGUUAAACCCCCUUGGUAUCUAAAUUGCCACCACAGGUUAUACACAUAGAAAGGCUUUCUUCAAACACUACAGCUCCUAAACCCGAGCUUUACAGUGUAAGGGAUCUCAAACAGAGACUUCUCUAAAUGCUUCUCAUGUAUGGGACAUGGAGCACUGGGACUCUGAACACUUUUGUAUACUUAGGGUAGAAAGCAUGAUCCUGGUUUUGGAACACAUCAGUAGUUGCAUAUAUCCACUUGGGAUCUACAAGUACUUGGUUUAGUAAGUGGCCUACACCUCCACUGUCCCUGUCUGUUGAACAAUUCAGCUACUUUGCAAAUGCACAAAAAUGUAUUUAGAAAAAAAAAAUCAGUCAAAUCGAUAAAAUAUUAUUCACUCAUCAGAUCUUCAAUCAGAUUCUCAGUGUUCCAUUCCUAAUUAAUUGCCAUCUGGUGAAGCCCUUUCUCUCCCAGAGCAGCAGGGAAUAUUCUUCUGGAGCAGACACACACAGCAGUGCUACUCGUAUGCUAACCGCUUCUGACUGGUGAUCCUAGGGAGCCUGACUGUUUGAGGCAAAUCACCUUCCCAGGGACUGCAUGAUUUAUUCCCAGCAUUUGGGUCGCAAGAGUUUUUGUAGGGAACAAAAAAAUGCUUCUACAUCAUCUACAAUGGAUCUCAUUCUAAUAGAUAACCAUUUUUUAACAUAAUAUGACUAUGGUUUAUCAAAUAAUAAGCACUCUAAAGUGCUGGGAAUGGGACCAAUGCAGCCAGUGUUGAUUCCUAUGUCCACUUUGCCAUGCCAUGAAAUUUUCAGUGGAUUGUGUGUGUGUGGAAAUCGUUGCUGUCAGUGAGGAAGAGCCUUAGUGUGCCACAGGGAAGCUGCAGACAAGUGGGUGUGACUUCUCAUAUUCUGAUCCUUAAUAUGCUACCCAAUUUUAAGAGCUGCCUAAUGCUCAUUAGGGAUGAUCAGAAAGCCAUAUGGCCUAACAAAUGUAAUACGUAGUUCAGCAUAUUGGCAGAAGGACUCCUUGUUAAUUUUGUCUCCUAUUCCACCCGCUGCCUGAUAAAGAGGAUAGUGAGGAGGCUGGUUUUACCAUGCUGAAGAGAUGACAGACUUGAUAACUUUAGUAUGGAGCAUUUCCAGUGCUUAACAAUGAAUGGCACAAGCUUUCUAAGGGGAGAAAAAAUAGGCACAGAUUUUCAAAUGCAUCAGCAGGUUGCAAAAUUGUGCUGAUUAGCCACUUGCAUAUUUGACUCAGGACAUUUGGGACUUGGGAGACCUCAAUUUAAUUCCUGUCUCUGAAACAUUUUCCCUGUUUGACCGUGGCAUGCUUUUUAACCUCUCUGUGCUUGGAUUCUCCCACUUUCUCCCUGGGAUAAGAAGAGUGUCUUGGUACACGUGUUUAUACAGAGAAAACUUGAUUCUGAACAAAGCCUCUUAGAAUAUUCCACAAUAGUGUGACAUUCUGGGCCUGUUAUAGUUACCGGUAUUUCUUCUUUGGAGACCUUGUUACUCUUUCUAUAUCUUUUCCUUGGUUUUGACAA